rnacentral:rRNA from 1 species
UCGAGAAUCUUUCGCAAUGGGCGCAAGCCUGACGAAGCGACGCCGUGUGAGCGAAGAAGGCCUUCGGGUUGUAAAGCUCUUUCGCUAGGGAACAAGAAAGACUGAUUAAUAAUCGGUUGAUUUGAUGGUACUUGGUAAAGAAGCACCGGCUAACUCCGUGCCAGCAGCUGCGGUAAUACGGAGGGUGCAAGCAUUGAUCGGAAUUACUGGGCGUAAAGGGCGCGUAGGCGGUCCGAGAAGUCAGAUGUGAAAUUCCGGGGCUCAACCCCGGAGCUGCAUUUGAAACUUUCGGACUUGAGGUUGACAAGGGAAAACGGAAUUCCACGUGUAGCGGUGAAAUGCGUAGAUAUGUGGAAGAACACCGGUGGUGAAGACGGUUUUCUGUGUCAAACCUGACGCUGAGGCGCGAAAGCUAGGGGAGCAAACAGG